rnacentral:rRNA from 1 species
AUUGAACGCUAGCGGGAUGCUUUACACAUGCAAGUCGAACGGCAGCGCGGACUUCGGUCUGGCGGCGAGUGGCGAACGGGUGAGUAAUGUAUCGGAACGUGCCCAGUAGCGGGGGAUAACUACGCGAAAGCGUAGCUAAUACCGCAUACGCCCUACGGGGGAAAGCAGGGGAUCGUAAGACCUUGCACUAUUGGAGCGGCCGAUAUCGGAUUAGCUAGUUGGUUAGGUAACGGCUCACCAAGGCGACGAUCCGUAGCUGGUUUGAGAGGACGACCAGCCACACUGGGACUGAGACACGGCCCAGACUCCUACGGGAGGUAGCAGUGGGGAAUUUUGGACAAUGGGGGCAACCCUGAUCCAGCCAUACCGCGUGUGCGAUGAAGGCCUUCGGGUUGUAAAGCACUCUUGGCAGGAAAGAAACGUCGCGGGCUAAUACACCGUGGAAAUGACGGUACCUGCAGAAUAAGCACCGGCUAACUACGUG